GAUGAACGCUGGCGGCGUGCCUAAUACAUGCCAGUCGAGCGAACAGACGAGGAGCUUGCUCCUCUGACGUUAGCGGCGGACGGGUGAGUAACACGUGGAUAACCUACCUAUAAGACUGGGAUAACUUCGGGAAACCGGAGCUAAUACCGGAUAAUAUAUUGAACCGCAUGGUUCAAUAGUGAAAGACGGUUUUGCUGUCACUUAUAGAUGGAUCCGCGCCGCAUUAGCUAGUUGGUAAGGUAACGGCUUACUAAGGCAACGAUGCGUAGCCGACCUGAGAGGGUGAUCGGCCACACUGGAACUGAGACACGGUCCAGACUCCUACGGGAGGCAGCAGUAGGGAAUCUUCCGCAAUGGGCGAAAGCUUGACGGAGCAACGCCGCGUGAGUGAUGAAGGUCUUCGGAUCGUAAAACUCUGUUAUUAGGGAAGAACAAAUGUGUAAGUAACUAUGCACGUCUUGACGGUACCUAAUCAGAAAGCCACGGCUAACUACGUG
rnacentral:rRNA from 1 species